UGCCAGGCAAUAUAUAGAUCUCUCGGCCGCAGCGAUAAAAUCCCACAAACGCACUCUCUCUGUCUCUCAUCCGUAGGCUGCACACAUUCAAUCAAUCUAACCCUAAUUUACCGAGAAAGUCUCCAAUUCUCUCCGUGGAACCAUGGGCGAAGAUCUAACCGAGAUGAGAUAUUUUUCCCAUAAGAUCUCUCUCUCUCUCUCCAUCUCUAAUCCGAAACUGUUUGUUUAGAUUUUUCAUGUGAUCGAUCUGUCAUAAUGGUUAAUUUGUCAAGGUGAUGAGACAGUGGUCUUCUGGAACUUGUAGAUUAUCCAAUCCCUAGUGGUGCCGUUCGUGACUCGAUUUAUCCUAAUAUCGAAUUAGCUCUCCAUAAAAUGGGCUUUCAUGGUAGCGUGUCAAUCAUGGCCUUUGGUGACGACAAACAUGACUUGAGCAGGGCCAGAAUGUAUAUAAGGAAGUAGACGGGGAAUUACCGGGUGAUGGUUGUUGUGUGAGGAGAAUGCUGGUACAACCAUUUCUUUCUGUAGACUCAGUGGUUGAAUCUACAAAAGUUUUAGGUGGAGUAAAGCCUAUAAGCGGAAUGCUGGUACGUUAUUAUGAUGUUCUAAAUGAUAAGCGUAUUGAGGAGUAUAAGACCACCUGUUAUUACUGUCACUGUGAUUGUAACGCUCCUGGUGCUGUUGAUUUGAGUUAGAUAUUUUGUCUUCUGUCAAAAGUAAUGUAUGAAAUCAUUCACCAAUGUUUCAUCUUUCUUCUUCUGUUUCUGUUAAAACUCUGUUGUUUUUGGGUUCAAAAUGAGAUUUGCAGUUUUAUUACCU